AUAAACGCUGGCGGCGUGCUUUAUGCAUGCAAGUCGCACGGUCAAUCGCAAGAAAGACAGUGGCAAACGGGUGCGUAACACAUAAGUAACCUGCCCCUAAGUGGAGAAUAGCUCCGGGAAACUGGAGGUAAUGCUGCAUGUUGUGGCGAGGGUAAGGCUUCGUCAAUAAAGCCCGUAAGGGCGCUUGGGGAGGGGCUUAUGUCUGAUUAGCUAGUUGGUGAGGUAACGGCCCACCAAGGCUUUGAUCGGUAGCUGGUCUGAGAGGAUGGUCAGCCACAAUGGGACUGAGACACGGCCCAUACUCCUACGGGAGGCAGCAGCAAGGGAUUUUGUGCAAUGGGCGAAAGCCUGACACAGCGACGCCGCGUGAAGGAUGAAGACCUUCGGGUUGUAAACUUCUUUUCUCAGGGAAGAAUAAUGACGGUACCUGAGGAAUAAGCUUCGGCUAACUACGU
rnacentral:rRNA from 1 species